rnacentral:rRNA from 1 species
UCGGGAAUAUUGCGCAAUGGAGGAAACUCUGACGCAGUGACGCCGCGUGCAGGAAGAAGGUUUUCGGAUUGUAAACUGCUUUAGACAGGGAAGAAAAAGGACAGUACCUGUAGAAUAAGCUCCGGCUAACUACGUGCCAGCAGCCGCGGUAAUACGUAGGGAGCAAGCGUUAUCCGGAUUUAUUGGGUGUAAAGGGUGCGUAGACGGGAAAUUAAGUUAGUUGUGAAAAUCCCUCGGCUUAACUGAGGAACUGCAACUAAAAACUGGUUUUCUUGAGUGCUGGAGAGGAAAAGUGGAAUUCCUAGUGUAGCGGUGAAAUGCGUAGAUAUUAGGAGGAACACCAGUGGCGAAGGCGACUUUCUGGACAGUAACUGACGUUGAGGCACGAAAAGUGUGGGGAGCAAAACAGGAUUAGAUACC